rnacentral:rRNA from 1 species
GACGAACGCUGGCGGCGUGCUUAACACAUGCAAGUCGAACGGAAAGGCCCUGCUUUUGUGGGGUGCUCGAGUGGCGAACGGGUGAGUAACACGUGAGUAACCUGCCCUUGACUUUGGGAUAACUUCAGGAAACUGGGGCUAAUACCGGAUAGGAGCUCCUGCUGCAUGGUGGGGGUUGGAAAGUUUCGGCGGUUGGGGAUGGACUCGCGGCUUAUCAGCUUGUUGGUGGGGUAGUGGCUUACCAAGGCUUUGACGGGUAGCCGGCCUGAGAGGGUGACCGGCCACAUUAGGACUGAGAUACGGCCCAGACUCCUACGGGAGGCAGCAGUAGGGAAUAUUGCACAAUAGGCGGAAGCCUGAUGCAGCAACGCCGCGUGCGGGAUGACGGCCUUCGGGUUGUAAACCGCUUUCGCCUGUGACGAAGCGUGAGUGACGGUAAUGGGUAAAGAAGCACCGGCUAACUACGUG